UGAGGUAGUAAGUUGUAUUGUU
rnacentral:ncRNA from 40 species